rnacentral:rRNA from 2 species
GGGGGAUAUUGCACAAUGGAGGAAACUCUGAUGCAGCGACGCCGCGUGAGGGAAGAAGGUUUUCGGAUUGUAAACCUCUGUCUUCGGGGACGAAACAAAUGACGGUACUCGAGGAGGAAGCCACGGCUAACUACGUGCCAGCAGCCGCGGUAAUACGUAGGUGGCAAGCGUUGUCCGGAAUUACUGGGUGUAAAGGGAGCGCAGGCGGUUUUUUAAGUCAGAUGUGAAAGGUACCGGCUCAACCGGUGACAUGCAUUUGAAACUGAAAGACUUGAGUAUUGGAGAGGCAAGUGGAAUUCCUAGUGUAGCGGUGAAAUGCGUAGAUAUUAGGAGGAACACCGGUGGCGAAGGCGGCUUGCUGGACAAAUACUGACGCUGAGGUGCGAAAGCGUGGGGAGCAAACA